rnacentral:lncRNA from 1 species
GACGUCUGUUAUGCAUGUUACAAAUUCAUGAAACCAAUAUUCAGCGAUCCGACCGCUGCGCCGCCAGUUUCCCUGUAAUACUGCGGCUACCUGCAUGAGGGACGGACGUCUGUUAUGCAUGUUACAAAUUCAUGAAACCAAUAUUCAGCGAUCCGACCGCUGCGCCGCCAGUUUCCCUGUAAUACUGCGGCUACCUGCAUGAGGGACGGACGUCUGUUAUGCAUGUUACAAAUUCAUGAAACCAAUAUUCAGCGAUCCGACCGCUGCGCCGCCAGUUUCCCUGUAAUACUGCGGCUACCUGCAUGAGGGACGGACGUCUGUUAUGCAUGUUACAAAUUCAUGAAACCAAUAUUCAGCGAUCCGACCGCUGCGCCGCCAGUUUCCCUGUAAUACUGCGGCUACCUGCAUGAGGGACGGACGUCUGUUAUGCAUGUUACAAAUUCAUGAAACCAAUAUUCAGCGAUCCGACCGCUGCGCCGCCAGUUUCCCUGUAAUACUGCGGCUACCUGCAUGAGGGACGGACGUCUGUUAUGCAUGUUACAAAUUCAUGAAACCAAUAUUCAGCGAUCCGACCGCUGCGCCGCCAGUUUCCCUGUAAUACUGCGGCUACCUGCAUGAGGGACGGACGUCUGUUAUGCAUGUUACAAAUUCAUGAAACCAAUAUUCAGCGAUCCGACCGCUGCGCCGCCAGUUUCCCUGUAAUACUGCGGCUACCUGCAUGAGGGACGGACGUCUGUUAUGCAUGUUACAAAUUCAUGAAACCAAUAUUCAGCGAUCCGACCGCUGCGCCGCCAGUUUCCCUGUAAGAUUUCUUUUUAUUUAAUUAAAAUUUUCGUAACAUACAUGAAUGAAUUCCAUCGGAUAUUUUUUAGGAUAAUUCAUUUCGGUUCAUAUUUUUUUUUAAUUUAAAUUUUCGUUACAUACCUGUUUAGGUUUCAUCACAGUUUUUUGCUAUAAUUUUUGUUUAACACCUAACACUUCUUUUGAGUAUCAUUUUCUUUUUCAUAACUAACAGUUCA